UACGUAGGAGGCAAGCGUUGUCCGGAAUUACUGGGCGUAAAGCGCGUGUAGGUGGUGGGACAAGUCUGCUGUGAAAGUGCCUGGCUUAACCGGGCGAGGUCGGCGGAAACUGUCCGACUCGAGGACGGUAGAGGGGGGUGGAAUUCCCGGUGUAGUGGUGAAAUGCGUAGAGAUCGGGAGGAACACCUGUGGCGAAGGGCGGCCCCCCUGG
rnacentral:rRNA from 1 species